rnacentral:rRNA from 2 species
GACAGAGGGUGCAAACGUUGCUCGGAAUCACUGGGCGUAAAGGGCGUGUAGGCGGAUAGAUAAGUCGGGCGUGAAAUCCCCAGGCUCAACCUGGGAACUGCACUCGAAACUGUUUAUCUUGAGUGCCGGAGAGGAAAGCGGAAUUCCUGGUGUAGAGGUGAAAUUCGUAGAUAUCAGGAGGAACACCAGUGGCGAAGGCGGCUUUCUGGACGGUAACUGACGCUGAGACGCGAAAGCGUGGGGAGCAAACAGG